rnacentral:rRNA from 1 species
GCUACGGGCGGCAGCAGUGAGGAAUAUUGGUCAAUGGACGAGAGUCUGAACCAGCCAAGUAGCGUGAAGGAUGACUGCCCUAUGGGUUGUAAACUUCUUUUAUAUGGGAAUAAAAUGUUCCACGUGUGGGAUUUGGUAUGUACAAUAUGAAUAAGGAUCGGCUAACUCCGUGCCAGCAGCCGCGGUAAUACGGAGGAUCCGAGCGUUAUCCGGAUUUAUUGGGUUUAAAGGGAGCGUAGGUGGAUUGUUAAGUCAGUUGUGAAAGUUUGCGGCUCAACCGUAAAAUUGCAGUUGAAACUGGCAGUCUUGCUUACAGUAGAGGUGGUCGGAAUUCGUUUUGUAGCGGUGAAAUGCUUAGAUAUCACGA